UCCAUUUCGCGAUGCCUUAUCGUGCAGUCGAACGGCAGCACGGGUGCUUGCACCUGGUGGCGAGUGGCGAACGGGUGAGUAAUACAUCGGAACAUGUCCUGUAGUGGGGGAUAGCCCGGCGAAAGCCGGAUUAAUACCGCAUACGAUCUAUGGAUGAAAGCGGGGGACCUUCGGGCCUCGCGCUAUAGGGUUGGCCGAUGGCUGAUUAGCUAGUUGGUGGGGUAAAGGCCUACCAAGGCGACGAUCAGUAGCUGGUCUGAGAGGACGACCAGCCACACUGGGACUGAGACACGGCCCAGACUCCUACGGGAGGCAGCAGUGGGGAAUUUUGGACAAUGGGCGAAAGCCUGAUCCAGCAAUGCCGCGUGUGUGAAGAAGGCCUUCGGGUUGUAAAGCACUUUUGUCCGGAAAGAAAUCCUUGGCUCUAAUACAGUCGGGGGAUGACGGUACCGGAAGAAUAAGCACCGGCUAACUACGUGCCAGCAGCCGCGGUAAUACGUAGGGUGCAAGCGUUAAUCGGAAUUACUGGGCGUAAAGCGUGCGCAGGCGGUUUGCUAAGACCGAUGUGAAAUCCCCGGGCUCAACCUGGGAACUGCAUUGGUGACUGGCAGGCUAGAGUAUGGCAGAGGGGGGUAGAAUUCCACGUGUAGCAGUGAAAUGCGUAGAGAUGUGGAGGAAUACCGAUGGCGAAGGCAGCCCCCUGGGCCAAUACUGACGCUCAUGCACGAAAGCGUGGGAGCAAACAGGAUUAGAUACCCUGGUAGUCCACGCCCUAAACGAUGUCAACUAGUUGUUGGGGAUUCAUUUCCUUAGUAACGUAGCUACGCGUGAAGUUGACCGCCUGGGGAGUACGGUCGCAAGAUUAAAACUCAAGGAAUUGACGGGGACCCGCACAAGCGGUGGAUGAUGUGGAUUAAUUCGAUGCAACGCGAAAACCUUACCUACCCUUGACAUGGUCGGAAUCCUGAAGAGAUUCGGGAGUGCUCGAAAGAGAACCGGCGCACAGUGCUGCAUGGCUGUCGUCAGCUCGUGUCGUGAGAUGUUGGGUAAGUCCCGCACGAGCGCAACCCUUGUCUAGUGCUACGCAGAGCACUCUAAGAGACUGCGUGACACGAGAAAGGUGGGGAUGACGUCCAGUCUCAUGCCUUAUGGUAGGGCUUUCACACGUCUACAUGUCGAACGAAGGUUGCCACCCCCGCGAGGGGGGGAGCCUUAUCGCGAAAAAUCGAAC
rnacentral:rRNA from 1 species